CGGGAGGCAGCAGUGGGGAAUCUUACACAAUGGGGGCAACCCUGUAUCUAGCCAUGCCGCGUGAGUGAUGAAGGCCUUAGGGUCGUAAAGCUCUUUCGCCUGUGAUGAUAAUGACUGUACCAGGUAAAGAAACCCCGGCUAACUCCGUGCCAGCAGCCGCGGUAAUACGGAGGGGGUUAGCGUUGUUCGGAAUUACUGGGCGUAAAGCGCGCGUAGGCGGAUUAGAAAGUUGGGUGUGAAAUCCCGGGGCUCAACCCCGGAACUGCCUCCAAAACUGCUAGUCUAGAGUUCGAGAGAGGUGAGUGGAAUUCCGAGUGUAGAGGUGAAAUUCGUAGAUAUUCGGAGGAACACCAGUGGCGAAGGCGGCUCACUGGCUCGAUACUGACGCUGAGGUGCGAAAGUGUGGGGAGCAAACAGGAUUAGAUACCCUGGUAGUCCACAC
rnacentral:rRNA from 1 species